UUGCGCAAGGCGACACAGUGAAUGAGC
rnacentral:piRNA from 1 species